GUAGCACUUGGUUUGGGCAGUCUUUUGUUAGAUCAAUGAUUGUCCCUCUAACAGUUUCUUCAUAUUCUUUUUGUACACCUACAAUUUGGGCUUCUUGGUCAGAGGUUACAUUAGGCUCUAAAAAUGGAUCUUUUAACAUGACUAGGAAUGGCUUUUGGUCCGAUGUAGGUAGGGUUUCUAAUGAAGGAACUAUUGGUGUGAUAGAGAGAAGGGGCAU
rnacentral:lncRNA from 1 species